rnacentral:rRNA from 1 species
GACGAACGCUGGCGGCGUGCUUAACACAUGCAAGUCGAGCGGUAAGGCCCUUUCGGGGGUACACGAGCGGCGAACGGGUGAGUAACACGUGGGUGACCUGCCCUCAGCUCUGGGAUAAGCCUGGGAAACUGGGUCUAAUACUGGAUAUGACUCCACGGUGCAUGUCGUGGGGUGGAAAGCCUUGUGCGGCUGAGGAUGGGCCCGCGGCCUAUCAGCUUGUUGGUGGGGNGAUGGCCUACCAAGGCGACGACGGGUAGCCGGCCUGAGAGGGCGACCGGCCACACUGGGACUGAGACACGGCCCAGACUCCUACGGGAGGCAGCAGUGGGGAAUCUUGCGCAAUGGGCGAAAGCCUGACGCAGCGACGCCGCGUGAGGGAUGACGGCCUGGUUGUAA